AUUCAAACUCCAAAUCUACCACAACCACACAAAUCGAACUAUUCCCAACAGCAAAACCUAAAGCCAAACCAGUCCAGGACCAAAACAGACAAAUCUAAAACUCCGACACACUGACCCCUCCCUCACGGGCCUUAAGCCGAACACGUCUCACGGGCGAACCCAACCCGUGAAUUGGCCACAUCGAAAAGCACCCUAUGGUUCUGCUGCUGCAUGCUGGCAAUCACGUUCAGCACGGAGUUCACAUUGUCCGGUGCCCCCGCCAUCGCCAGACAACUAAGAUCGCCGGACGAGCUAUGAAUCAGCACAUUAUCCGCCGGCAGCGUCACGUUCAUCCCGGCAAACAAGAACGUUAUCGCCGGCGCCACUAUCGGCCCAGUGAAGCAUGUAUCAAACCCACCUAGCGAGCUCACGGUCCCUUUCACCCGACGGCGAAACUCGUCCCUGACUGCAGUGUAUGCAGGCGCAACGAGACGCGUGAACAUGGUGCCAGAAUCUAUGAUCGUGCCGGCACCGGUGGCGGCGUCGAAUGCUAAAGCGGAUGGUGGGAUAUCGACGACGCGACGCCCGACACGGAUGCCGAUGAGGUUGACGUAGUAGAGGGAGGGGCGGCGGGGGUUGGAGAGGAGAGGGGUGGUCUUGAUCCGCUGCGGUUGGCCGGUGGGCCCAAGACGGAGAGUUCCAGAGAAGUUGAGUGAGCGGAUGUUAGGGAGGCAGUAUGAGAAGAUGCCGCCGUAUAGGGUUUUGCUCUGGGAGAGGAAGGAGAGCUGGCCGCGGCCGAGGCCCAGGAGCCCCUGCGGCGGAACGGAGCUGCCGGUGACGCGGCGGAGGCAGCCGAAGGUGUAGGGGGCGACGGUGUCGGUGGAGAGAGCUAAGGAGUCUUGCACGAGGUCGGCGGCGAUGGAGGAGGAGCCGUAGGUGAGGUUGAAAGAGCAGGAGGUGAUGGAGCAGGAGGGGUUGGGGACCUGGGCGCAGGCAGGGGAGCCGCAAGGGACGGGGCGGUAGGAGGCGGAGAGCUCGGUGGUGAAGACGGCGGAGGACUGCGUCGGGCAGCCGGCGCAUUUGGAGCAGGGGAUCCAGGCGGCAUCGCUGCUGGUGUCGAGGGCGACGAGGAGGGGCUGUGGGGGGCUGCCAAAUUGGGCGCGGGCGACGUAGAUAGGGGUUUGGAUUAGUUGGCGGCCUGAGGCGACGGGGACGAAUGAGCGGCGUGCGGUGGCGAGGGAGGUGAGGUAUUGGAGGCGAGAGUUGUCGUGGAGGAGAGUUUCGACAAUGGAAGUGGCCGCCGGGCCAUGAAAGAUGUCGACGGUGGAGGCGGAAAGCGGGGCGAUGAGAAGAGGGAGGAGGACAGAGAGGAGGAGGAGGAGGAGG
rnacentral:misc_RNA from 1 species